AUUGAACGCUGGCGGCAGGCCUAACACAUGCAAGUCGAACGGUAACAGGAAGAAGCUUGCUUCUUUGCUGACGAGUGGCGGACGGGUGAGUAAUGUCUGGGAAACUGCCUGAUGGAGGGGGAUAACUACUGGAAACGGUAGCUAAUACCGCAUAACGUCGCAAGACCAAAAAGGGGGACCUUCGGGCCUCUUGCCAUCGGAUGUGCCCAGAUGGGAUUAGCUAGUAGGUGGGGUAACGGCUCACCUAGGCGACGAUCCCUAGCUGGUCUGAGAGGAUGACCAGCCACACUGGAACUGAGACACGGUCCAGACUCCUACGGGAGGCAGCAGUGGGGAAUAUUGCACAAUGGGCGCAAGCCUGAUGCAGCCAUGCCGCGUGUAUGAAGAAGGCCUGCGGGUUGUAAAGUACUUUCAGCGGGGAGGAAGGGAGUAAAGUUAAUACCUUUGCUCAUUGACGUUACCCGCAGAAGAAGCACCGGCUAACUCCGU
rnacentral:rRNA from 1 species